rnacentral:rRNA from 1 species
CAAAGGCUUGGUCCUGGCCUUGCUAACAGCUCUAGCCAA